rnacentral:rRNA from 1 species
UACGGGGGGGGCAAGCGUUGUUCGGAAUUACUGGGCGUAAAGGGUUCGUAGGUGGCCAACUCAGUCAGACGUGAAAUCCCUCAGCUCAACUGGGGAACUGCGUCUGAUACUAGAUGGCUCGAGUGCAGGAGAGGAACGCGGAAUUCCAGGUGUAGCGGUGAAAUGCGUAGAUAUCUGGAGGAACACCGGUGGCGAAGGCGGCGGGCUGGUCCGUAUCUGACGCUGAGGCGCGACAGCGUGGGGAGCAAACAGG